CUCGUGGAAGGGUAGUGUUUAUUAGAUACAGAACCAACCCACCUUCGGGUGGUCCUCAGGUGAUUCAUAGUAACCGAACGGAUCGCAUUAUGGCCUUUUGGUCGGCGAUGGAUCAUUCAAGUUUCUGACCUAUCAGCUUUCGACGGUACUGUAUUGGACUACCGUGGCAGUGACGGGUAACGGGGAAUUAGGGUUCGAUUCCGGAGAGGGAGCCUGAGAAACGGCUACCACAUCUAAGGAAGGCAGCAGGCGCGCAAAUUACCCAAUCCUGACUCAGGGAGGUAGUGACAAGAAAUAACAACACUGGAAAUUAUAUUUCUAGUGAUUGGAAUGAUGGGAAUCCAAACCCCUUUCAGAGUAACAAUUGGAGGGCAAGUCUGGUGCCAGCAGCCGCGGUAAUUCCAGCUCCAAUAGCGUAUAUUAAAGUUGUUGCAGUUAAAAAGCUCGUAGUUGGAUAUCUGCUGGAAGCAGCCAGUCCGCCCUUUGUGGGUGUGCACUUGGUGAAUUCUGGCAUCCUCCUGAUUGGUGUUAUCAUCACUUCAUUGUGUUGAUGGCAGCUGUCAGGACCGUUACUUUGAGAAAAUUAGAGUGUUUCAAGCAGGCUUGUUGCCUUGAAUACUGCAGCAUGGAAUAACAAGAUAGGAUUUCGGUUCUAUUUUGUUGGUUUCUAGGACUGAAGUAAUGAUUAAUAGGGACAGUUGGGGGCAUUCGUAUUUAACUGUCAGAGGUGAAAUUCU
rnacentral:rRNA from 1 species